UACAGAGGUCUCAAGCGUUGUUCGGAUUCAUUGGGCGUAAAGGGCGCGUAGGCGGCGGGGUAAGUCGGGUGUGAAAUCUCGAGAGCUCAACUCUGAAACUGCACUCGAUACUGCUCUGCUUGAGGACGUGGAGAGGAGACUGGAAUUACGGUGUAGCGGUGAAAUGCGUAGAUAUCGUAAGGAAGACCAGUGGCGAAGGCGGGUCUCUGGACAGUUCCUGACGCUGAGGCACGAAGGUCAGGGGAGCAAACGGG
rnacentral:rRNA from 1 species